CUUGAAGAGUGCAAAGCAGCAGGGCCAAACACUAUGCCACGUAGAUUCUGCUGCCAUGACAGAAUCGUAGAAUGAAGAGCACCAUGAAUGAAGACUGAGUGAAGGAAUUUUACAGGGUGAUUUUGAAGGGAAGGAGUCAGACAAUCUUGCAUGCAUACGGUGGUUUUCCUGUUCUCUAUGCACCGGGUGGAUGAACAAUGCACCGGCAGCAAUACUGCACCAAUCAGGACUCCUCAAUUCCCAUUCAUCAGAUGAUUCAUCAACUGGAGAACUAAAGAGUAAUCAGCAAGACUUGCUCACCCUUCAGUAAUCCCAUAUGGCCGGUGC
ensembl:lncRNA